rnacentral:rRNA from 1 species
CGUAAGCGCACGCAGGCGGUCUGUCAAGUCGGAUGUGAAAUCCCCCGCCUCAACCUGGGAACUGCAUUCGAAACUGGCAGGCUAGAGUCCUGUAGAGGGGGGUAGAAUUCCAGGUGUAGCGGUGAAAUGCGUAGAGAUCUGGAGGAAUACCGGUGGCGAAGGCGGCCCCCUGGACAAAGACUGACGCUCAGGUGCGAAAGCGUGGGGAGCAAACAGGAUUAGAUACCCUGGUAGUCCACGCCGUAAACGAUGUCUAUUUGGAGGUUGUGCCCUUGAGGCGUGGCUUCCGGAGCUAACGCGUUAAAUCGACCGCCUGGGGAGUACGGCCGCAAGGAUAAAACUCAAAUGAAUUGACGGGGGCCCGCACAAGCGGUGGAGCAUGUGGUUUAAUUCGAUGCAACGCGAAGAACCUUACCUGGUCUUGACAUCCACAGAACUUUCCAGAGAUGGAUUGGUGCCUUCGGGAACUGUGAGACAGGUGCUGCAUGGCUGUCGUCAGCUCGUGUUGUGAAAUGAUGGGUUAAGUCCCGCAACGAGCGCAACCCUUAUCCUUUGUUGCCGGCGGUUAGGCCGGGAACU